UACGAAGGGGGCUAGCGUUGUUCGGAAUCAUGACGUGGGCGUAAAGGGCGGCGUAGGCGGCUUUAUAAGUCCGGGGGUGAAAGCCUGUGGCUCAACCACAGAAUUGCCUUCGAUACUGUAGAGCUUGAGACCGGAAGAGGUAAGUGGAACUGCGAGUGUAGAGGUGAAAUUCGUAGAUAUUCGCAAGAACACCAGUGGCGAAGGCG
rnacentral:rRNA from 1 species